rnacentral:hammerhead_ribozyme from 1 species
GUACUGCUGAAUAGUCCCAAACUAGGAUGAAACAGCUGUCCAGUAC